CUUGGCGUCAGCGAAGCGUUCGGGGUCGUCCCCGAGCUCGCCGAGCACCCGGGCGCGAGGAUGUCACUCAGGCCUGGCAGC
rfam:Serinicoccus sp. CNJ-927 NODE_2_length_286435_cov_307.344_ID_27, whole genome shotgun sequence.